UACGUAGGGUGCAAGCGUUGUCCGGAAUUAUUGGGCGUAAAGAGCUCGUAGGCGGUUUGUCGCGUCGAAUGUGAAAACUCGGGGCUUAACCCCGAGCCUGCAGUGGAUACGGGCAGACUAGAGGUAGGUAGGGGAGAAUGGAAUUCCCGGUGUAGCGGUGAAAUGCGCAGAUAUCGGGAGGAACACCGGUGGCGAAGGCGGUUCUCUGGGCCUUACCUGACGCUGAGGAGCGAAAGCGUGGGGAGCGAACAGG
rnacentral:rRNA from 1 species